UACGUAGGGGGCGAGCGUUGUCCGGAAUUAUUGGGCGUAAAGAGCGUGUAGGCGGUUCGGUAAGUCUGCCGUGAAAACCUGGGGCUCGAACCCCGGGCCGUGCGGUGGAUACUGCCGGGCUAGAGGGUGGUAGAGGCGAGUGGAAUUCCUGGUGUAGCGGUGAAAUGCGCAGAUAUCAGGAAGAACACCAAUGGCGAAAGCAGCUCUCUGGGACGGUACUGACGCUGAGACGCGAAAGCGUGGGGAGCGAACAGG
rnacentral:rRNA from 1 species